AGCGAACGCUGGCGGCGUGCUUAACACAUGCAAGUCGAGCGAGAAAGGGGGCUUCGGCCCCUGAGUACAGCGGCGAACGGGUGCGUAAUACAUGAGCAAUCUACCCUUGAGGCGGGAAUAACCCAGCGAAAGUUGGGCUAAUACCGGAUAAGACCACAAGAGGAGACCCUUGAGGCUAAAGGCAGCUCUCUUUUGGGGGCGGCCCUUUGAGGAGGAGCUCAUGUCCUAUCAGCUAGUUGGUAGGGUAACGGCCUACCAAGGCGAAGACGGGUAGCUGGUCUUAGAGGAUGAUCAGCCACACGGGGACUGAGACACGGCCCCGACUCCUACGGGA
rnacentral:rRNA from 1 species